CUAAAAGUGAAAUCGUGGCUUCUCGAAAAAGGCUACGAGAAAGUAGAAGUUGGGACAGUCGAAGCAUUUCAAGGCAAAGAGAAGCGUAUUAUCAUCGUAUCAACUGUUCGUGCGAACACUAAUAUGCUUGAGCACGACGCGAGAUACCAACUGGGGUUCCUGGUAGAUGAUAAGCGUUUCAACGUCGCACUGACUCGUGCGAAAGCCAAAAUUAUCAUCAUAGGCAAUCCCGUGUGCCUCAGUAAAGAUGUUAAAUGGCGUCUUUAUAUACAACUGUGUCGAGAAUUUGGCACAUAUUAUGGCUAUCAACAUGAAUAAUUAUGAAGAUUGAUGAACAAUUAUCGAGGACCAAUUUUAAUUGUAUUAAUAAUGACGCUAAGUGCUUUUAUUCUGUGAUAAGAUAUAUUUUUAUAUUUUUUGAUAAAACUUUGUUAUAGACAUAUUUCUUUAUGAUAUUACAUUUUUAUUAAAUAUGCUCUAUAAUGCC